GUCGACUCCUGUGAGGUAUGGUGCUGGGUGCAGAUGCAGUGUGGCUCUGGAUAGCACCUUAUGGACAGUUGUGUCCCCAAGGAAGGAUGAGAAUAGCUACUGAAGUAAGUUGAAAAUUCCCUCUCAAAAAGGUUUAAAGCCAUUGGAUGUGCCACAAUGAUGACAGUUUAUUUGCUACUCUUGAGUGCUAGAAUGAUGAGGAUCUUAACCACCAUUAUCUUAACUGAGGCACCCAAAAUGGUGAGUUGGGGAACAUAGAGAGUACACCUAAGUUCACAUGAAGUUGUUUCUUCCCAGGUCCUAAAGAGCAAGCCUAACUCAAGCCAUUGGCACACAGGCAUUAGACAGAAAGCUGGAAGUUGAAAUGGUGGAGUCCAACUUGCCUGGACCAGCUUAAUGGUUCUGCUCCUGGUAACGUUUUUAUCCAUGGAUGACUUGCUUGGGUAAGGACAUGAAGACAGUUCCUGUCAUACCUUUUAAAGGUACAUGUUUUAUUGAUGUUAACGUUAAUUGAUUGAGCUACUGUUAGUGAUGAUUUUAAAAUUAAAGCAGAUGGGAAUCUCUCUGAGAAAGAAAAUGGAGAUUAAUCUUAAACUGAAACAGUAGUUGGGAAAUCUUUUAGAAAUCCACCUAUUACUACCUAUUGGUAAAGGAGAUUAAAUUUCUACAGGUAUGGAGAGUCGGCUUGACUACACUGUGUGGAGCAAGUUUUAAAGAAGCAAAGGACUCAGAAUUCAUGAUUGAAGAAAUGCAGGCAGACCUGUUAUCCUAAACUAGGGUUUUUAAUGACCACAACAAGCAAGCAUGCAGCUUACUGCUUGAAAGGGUCUUGCCUCACCCAAGCUAGAGUGCAGUGGCCUUUGAAGCUUACUACAGCCUCAAACUUCUGGGCUCAAGUGAUCCUCAGCCUCCCAGUGGUCUUUGUAGACUGCCUGAUGGAGUCUCAUGGCACAAGAAGAUUAAAACAGUGUCUCCAAUUUUAAUAAAUUUUUGCAAUCC
rnacentral:lncRNA from 1 species